GAGUUCUGUGGCCAGAGACAAGGACGCGGGUGGGAGUCGGGGGGGUGAGGAGGCCAUGGGGAGAGAGGGGACGUGAUGGAAAGAAGAGGGGGAGGAUAAGAGAGUGUAGAAGGAGGAGGGAGAUGGGGAUGAAGAUGAGGCAAGGGGGUUGGGAGAGGGAGGGGACAGGUGUAAGUACCGGGUUGGACAAACCCAGAGUACCCACCCUCUGCCCCAGAACUGCACCCCCAUCCCUCCCCACUCCCACACAGAGACUGCCCAGAGGGUGGGGCCACAGCUUUGGGCCUAGCCUUUCCCUGGGGGCAUGGCCAACCCUGUGGGCUACUCUGAGCCUGCGGGGGGCCUGCAGCAGGGAGCAGCUCAGCCAAGCCCCACGCGGGGCUAACCAGGCUGCCAGGGCCCCCAGCAGAUUACGUAAGGGCUUAUGCCGCCGCGGCUCAUUUGUCCGCCCCCCUCCCUCCCCAGCCUGGCGUGGCGCCAGGAGCCCGAAAACCCAGGGCUCCAGAAAUCAAUCUCGCGGUGACUGAUUAAGCCCUGUUUAGAACUAAUUGCUCUUUCGUGUGUGGGGAGAAUAAAUUACCUGCUUUAAUUUCGUGUCUUUAAAAUGCAACUGCAGGUAGAGAAGACUGUUAACCCUUUGCUGGGAGGGCCUGGCCAGGGGAAACAGAGUAGGCUGGGGGUCCCCAAGGUGGGUCCAGGCCUGAGACUUUUCGGAGGUAUCACCCCAACUCCUCUUAGCUGCUGUGAACUCCACAGAGGGUUUGGAUUCCAGCAGGCCCCUCAAAAGACAUCCUUUUGCCACAGAGACCUCAGCCUUCACCCUCUUCAGUGCCCACCUUCAGGCCAGCCCAACUCUCCUGCCUGCCCUUUGGGCUGCACCCUGCCCUCCUCUCCUGACCCACCUGCCUGCCCUCCAAGCCCCUUCCUGUUGGAGCCUUCUCAAAAUCCCCACAGUGUGUGGCAAAGUCCCCAUUCACACGCCAGAAGACCUAGGCUCAGAGAGAGGAAUGGCUUGCCCAAGGUGGCCUUUUCUGCUGUCCCUCGGUUCCUCCCUGGGCUUCACCUCUGCCAUCUCUCCAUACAUCCUCUUUUUAAUUCUGCUGUGCCAGUCUCCAGUGCUCCCCAUGUCACUGCCUGCUUUUGCCAGGCCUGUUCUGAGGACAGAGGAAGGCAGGAAGUCCACUGGCCCCACUGGAAUCUGGAGUAGAACUUCUGCUGGGCCUGCCGCACCCCACCUCUGGGGCCUCCCACCUGGUGGCCUCAACUUCCUGGUCCAGGGACCGGAGGCCCAGAGGCGUGAUGUAACUUCCCGUGGCCCCACAGCUAGGCAACGAUGCCCGGUACCACUCCAGCUCUGCCCAGCUCAUGGACCUGCUCUUAACCUGUGAAUCCACCUAGCCACACUCGCAGCCACUGCUCUGUGAGGCUCUCCCUCCUGCCUCCUUCCCACCAGUCUCCGGGAGGAGGGGUCCUUCCUGCUGCCCAGGGUACCCUCCCACCCCUCACCCCCAGCUCCAGACACUCAUCUGACUCCUCAGGGCCCCAGGCUCCCUGUCUCUGGCACUUUCUGGCCUUUGAAGGCAACAGCUGGGACUUGCCAGCCUUGCCCUGCCUGGUUCUCCAGAGACCCUGAGGGGAGGGGAGCUGGGCCCCCAGGGAGCAGUGCUCCCUCAAGUAGAUACCCCCUUCCUGUUCCCACCCCUGCACCUGGCUCCCCAGCCCCUCCCCAACACCUGUGUUCAGCCUCCUAGGAGGCCUCAGUUCUCCUCCCCCAUAGGACUGUCUGGCUUACAAGAGGCUCCACCUCCCACCUCCCCAUUUCUCCAGCUGGAGGUCACUCAGGCAACACCUCUUUAUCAAUGUCAUUAUGUCCUGGAGGAAGGACAGUACCAGGUACCAGCACCUAGCAAGCGCUUGCCCAUUCAGCCCUGGGCACUCUAAGUACUUUAUCUAAUGUAAUCAUUAGAUGAACUCCACACAAGUCAGGGAUUGUGAUCCCUAUCUCAUAACCAGAGAGUGAGGCUCAGAGAUGUUAAGAGAGUUGCCAAGGUCACACAGCUUAAGUGCUGUGCCAGGUAUUGAUUUCAGGUUGGUGUUUUGUUUUGUUUUGUUUUGUUUUGUUUUGUUCAGACAGGGUUUCACUCUAGCCCAGACUCGAGUACAGUGGCACGAUCUCGGCUCACUGCAACCUCCGCCUCCCAGGCUCAAGUGAUUCUCCUGCCUCAGCCUCCCAAGUAGCUGGAAUUACAGGUGCAUGCCACUGCCACCCAGCUAAUUUUUGUAUUUUUAGUAGAGAUGGGGUUUCACCACGUUGACCAGACUGGUCUUGAACUCCUGACCUCAGAUGAUCCACCCGCCUCGGCCUCCCAAAGUGCUGGGAUUACAGCACUCCACGCAGCAGCCAGGGUGACCCUUCAAAUAACCGAGAUCACGUCCAUUCCUGCCCAGAUCCCUCCGACAUCUUCCAUCUCACUCACAGUGAGGAACAAAGGCCUUGCCAUGGCCCACAAGACCCACAGUGACCAUGCAGCAGGACACCCUCAUUUAUCCUCUGAGUCGGACACUCUCCUUCCUCCUGUGGUGUGGCUGUGUUCUCUGACAGAGCAAAAGCCGACUGAUCCAGCAGGACGUCAUCUCUACUGCAAGUACCCUUCAUCCCCUGACAGUACAACCUCAUUUAUCUAAUAAUGCAGCCUCACCUUGCCUCCAAGUACCCUCAUUCCCUGACAGCACAACCUCGUUGAUCUUCCGGUACAACCUCAUUUCUUCUCCCAACACAGCUUCAUUCUCCGACAGCUCAACCUCAUCUAAUCUUAUGCCUCCAGCCAGGGCCUGCCAGAUCUCCGGGAGCCAAAGGAGAGUGUAGAGAAAAGAGAGGUCCCUCAUUUGCUGUCCCCCACCCACAAGGGCUGCCUGGUGCUAUAACCAUCCAAUUUCUCCAGGCCCAGAAGGGGCCAUGGACUUUGAGUUCUAGGCUGCUUGGCCAAGCCAGAACUCCACUAUUGCCCUGCCUCCUGUUCUGUCCCCACCAUGGCUACAGAGGGCCCACAGGAUGGACUCUGGGACAUGGACUCAUGGUUGCUGUACCAUCUUCUUCUUUAUUUAUAGCCAGAGAGGAGGAUUUCUUAUGUUGCCCACGUUGGUCUCGAACUCCUGACCUCAAGUGAUCUUCCUGCCUCGGCCUCCCAAAGUGCUGGGAUUACAGGUGUGAGCCAACUUGCCUGGCCAUCUCUGUGCCAUCUUCUUCUGAUCCUGGGCAGUGGGACUAGGGGAAGUUACCUUUUCUGGGGCACAUUUAGUGGUGUGCUGGCAAAUGUUUAACCACCAGCUCUCCUGGAAGUUAAAAAAAAAACCUACCUGAUUUGAUUUGUA